rnacentral:rRNA from 1 species
AAUGAACGUUGGCGGCGUGGAUUAGGCAUGCAAGUCGAGCGCGAAACGUAGCAAUACGUGGAAAGCGGCGAAAGGGAGAGUAAUACAUAGGUACGUACCCUUGGACCUGGGAUAGCGGCGGGAAACUGCCGGUAAUACCAGAUAAUGUCUCCGGACCAAAGGUGUGAUUCCGUCUGAGGAGCGGCCUAUGUCCUAUUAGCUAGUUGGUAAGGUAACGGCUUACAAAGGCAAAGAUGGGUAUGGGGUGUGAGAGCAUGCCCCCACUCACUGGGACUGAGACACUGCCCAGACACCUACGGGUGGCUGCAGUAGAGAAUCUUCGGCAAUGGACGCAAGUCUGACCGAGCGACGCCGCGUGCGGGAUGAAGGCCUUCGGGUUGUAAACCGCUGUCGUAGGGGAGGAAAUGCAGGUGGGUACUCCCAUCUGCUUGACUGAUCCUAGGAGGAAGGACCGGCUAAUCUCGUGCCAGCCGCCGCGGUAA